AUGAAAAAAGAGAAAAAAAAGUGAGUGUUUUAUACAUACAUAUAUAUACAUAUAUAUAUAUAUAUAUAUAUAUAUAUAUAUAUAUAUAUAUAUAACACAAAAAUAUUUUUAUUACGUACCUGUGUGCCAGCUUUGUUUCUCGAGUUAUCAAUGAACUCGUGUGUGUUCAAAUGAUCCAUAUCGAUAUUCCUGCAUGAAAAAGCAUCAUUUAUAUAUAUAUAUAUAUAAGUAUAUAUAGAUAUAUUAUAUAUAUAUAUAAGUAUAUAUAUAUAGAUGUAUAUAUAUAUACAUAUAUAUAUAUAUAUACCGGCUCUGUAUAAAUAAAAAAUUGUUUUGUGUACGCGUCCAAAUAAAUUAAUCUAGAUAAAUGACAAGAUUGAAAAGAUUGUCUUUAUAUAUAUGCGCGUAUAUAUACUUAUAUGUAUACGUGCUUCGUGUCCAUAUUAACAUAGAUCAAUCUUUCUAAGGUCGGAAACCUUUUCCCAUGAAAUAAAAAAAAAAAAUUAAAAUGAAAUCAUGGCAGGUUUUAGUAUAAUAAAAGGUGAAUAUAGAUACGUGAAAGUUAUUCUUUGUACAUGGGACAAGAAUAAUUAAUAAUUAAUUAUAAUAGUAAUAGUAAUAAAAAUAAUAAUAAUAAUAAUAAUAAUAAUAAUAAUAAUAAUAAUAAUAAUAACGAUCACGUUAAAAGUAAUAAUAUCGUUAUAAUAAUAAUCUAAUUAAUUAAUCGGUAAUGUAGAGAUCUGCCAUAAGUAUGCGCCAUUUGUAAAGAGAAAAAACAUGUUUUGAAGUUAUUUUAAUUUCUGUGAAAAAGUUAGAGAGAAACGAAUAAAAAAAAUCGAGAGAGAAAGAUUGUAUUUGUUAUUAUUGUAAAUUUUAGCUUCUUGGAAAAUUUUUUUAUUAAAUUAAAUUAAAUUAAUUAAAUUUCUCUAUCUCUUUCUCUCACUCUCUCUCUUUCUCUCUCUCUCUCUCUCUCUCUCUCUCUCUCUCUCUCUCUCUCUCUCUGUCUAUCUCUUCUCUCUCUCUGUCUCUCUCUUCUCUCUCUCAUUCUCUCUCUUUUGGAGAUCGUAAUACUCACUAAAUCAGACAUACAGUUCGAUCGUUUUCAAAUAAUUCAAUAUUAUAAUGAUAGUUAAUUUAAUAAGAAAUCAUUACGAAUAUUGGAAAUAGAAUCGAAUUUAAUAUAACUAAAUGAAAAAUUAUAUUACUCUCUUUGAAGGAUGAAAUUAUUUUUCUUUGUAUUUUUCACUUUUUCAUCCUGUGAAUCCGAUAUAUAUAUAUAUAUAUAUAUAUAUAUAUAUAUAUAUAUACAUAUAUGUAAUUACAUAUGGAUCGAAAAAUAUUUUAAAAAGUUCGAUUCGAAAGACUCGAUAUUUACGGCCUUCAUCUUCUAAUACUUUCGCAGUUUUGAUGAAACUCAUGCGAUUGAUAAUCAAAGCCGAUAUGAGUUUAGAAUCUCUGCCAUAUUUUUUCUUUUUUUUCUUUUUCUUUCUUUUUUUUUUUAAAUAAACCAAAGACAUUUUGAAAUGUUUUUUAAUAUUAUAUAUUUAAAUAAGUCGAGCAUUGAUCGUCUCUAUGAUAAUAAAAGUAGCCAAACAUUAGAAAGAUUAUAAAAUUUAAUUAAGAAUUAAUUUUUAUUUAAUAUCAUUCCAAUGUAAUUAUUAAAAAAUUAUUAAAUUGUUUGACGAUAUUUGUAUCAUAGAUUAAGCUACUUUCAAUAUCAAUGGGCCACGAUUAUUUCUAAUCAAUAAACUCGAUAUAACGAAUUUCAUAAGCCUAAAAGGGUAAAUAAAUAAUAAUUAGUUGAUUGUCGUCGUCGUUUAAUCUACUUAAAUAAGUUUGAAAGAAAAAAGCUGAAAGAUUUUUUUAAUGAAAAAAAGAAACACUAUUCUUACUUCUGACGUUGUAUUGUUGUCACGUGAUCGAUAUCUGCGAGCUGAAAAAAAGAAAAAAAAAAGAAACAAAUUUUCAAUGAUAAACGUUCAUCCUAUAUUUUUUUUAUGAUUUAUAAAAGCAAAUGAGACAGAAAAAAAUUACACAAAUCGAGAUUUUGUUAUCAAUUUUUUUUUUCUUUUUUCUAAGAGAAGAACCUCAUAAAUUUGCCAUUUAUUUUACUGCUUUUUUUCUUGUUUUUUCUUAAUCAUCAUCAUCAUCAUCUUUUUCCUUUUAUUUCAUUUUUAUAGAUAAAUAACAAAAAAACCCCAUAAUAUAAUAGAAAGAGAGGACGUAAUAAAGACACGAAAAGAUGUACGUUUUGUUCCUGACGCAUUGACGAAGCCAAAUGAAACUUCUCCAUUUUUGUAGCCUCUGUAUGUCUAACAUAUGUAUACAACCGUUCUGGUGUGGAGAAAGUUACAAAUAUUAUAAAUAUAUGAUACAUGUAUACAUACAUAUAUAUAUGUGUAUGUAUACAUAUAUAUAUAUAUAUCCUGUAUAUAAGUUAUAAAUAUUGUGUAUCAUGUAUUUAUAACUUAUAUGUUUAUACAUGCAAAAAUAUAGAUACCUAUAUAAUCACA